CUCCCUCCGCCGCCACUCUCUUCUUCCUCCUUUACUCUUCCUCUCGGUCUCCACACGAUGGCCUCCGUCACCCCGCGUGAGCUCCGCCUCCCUGCAGCGCGUCCGCGCGUCUCCAAGCUCUACGACCGCCGGUGUCCGCUCGACCAAGAUCUUCCCGACGUCCUCAACCACGCGCACGCAUCCUGCACGUCGUCCCGGUCCCAUCGCCUCGACGAGCUCUCCAUCGAGCGCCCCUGCACGUCCGUCUCCUGCAUCUCACCUCUCCAAGCCUUGGCGAAGCGCACGCGCGCGUUCUGCACCGUCACCUCCAUGCAGUAGCGCAGCUCGCCGUGUCCCCGCCUAACUCGAGUGCGUCUUCAUCGCCGUCGCGCACCGGCCGCUCCAAGCUGCAAGUUCAUCGCUUUCUCCACGUCGUCGUCCUGCGCGCGCACUGCCAGCGCUGUCCCCUUCUGCAUGCGCGCUCCCGCCGUCCUUGUACGUCGCCAAGGUCGCGGCGUGCAACUUCGACAACCGCGCAUGCUCGCCGACGUACCCAAGCGUCUCCGGCUGCAGCAGCUCGUCGACGAGGCCCCAGGCCCCACCAUCUUCACCUUCAUCCCCGUGCUCGAUCGGUGCUCCACCCCCAUGCCCAGCAAGCCCGUCGGUCGGUCGUCAUGUUCUUCUUCGUGGGCUGCUGGUCUUCCUUCUCUAUCCGUCCUCCGUCGCGAACGCCCGUAACGUGACCUUGCAGAUCGAUCCCGGGCGGACGCAACUUGUCCAGCUGAAACCGGCUUCGUCAAAUCGUCUCCGUCCUCAUCGUUCAAAACCAUGCGCGCCAAACUCGCCUCGGCAUCGUCUUCUGCGCGCCCAAACUGACUCCAGCCUGCCGUCCCCGGAUGAUCUCGGCGCUCCUUCCAUCGUCAGCUACCGCGUGUACCGGCAGUGAAGUCGCUGCCUUGGUUCAUUUGGUUCUAUACUCCCAGGACAACCGUCAACUGAAGGCAAGCUAGCUGGCUCUUCCAUGUAUUCUAUCGAUCAGAUCUUGUGCUCAAAUCCUUUGGCAGCCCAAUAUAAUAAUCAACCUUCUUGGUCUUUUGCCAUGUGUACAGACGGACCCAUCUGUCAUUGACCUGGGCUAGCCCUGCCUUUGGUGAGAAGACCCAUACCAGCUUGGCCACAUCAGCGCAUCCAAUCAGCACCUCCCGGUCCCGCCGUCAGCCGCUCAGGCUAGUUCUGCCUGGCAUUUGCUUCUUCCCGGAUAGGAUCGCGAAGUGAUGUUGUGAGAUACGACAAGAUCUUCGGAUGUUCCUUGGCAAGCUUUAACAGGCAAGCAUUUCCUAAACUCCUGUCUCUACAGGAGUCGCUCACCUAUUUUAUUUUGCCUUCUCCCUUACGCUAGCCUUGAGUUGCGUUCUUGUCACGUGUCCUAUCCACAUGUUACCUCAAGCAGCCCAUAUUGCCUCCACCAACCUCCUAUAGCUAUUGUUUGGUUAUCUGGUCUGCCUUGCGAGUCGUAGUGCAUGCUAGUGCUAUUUAUAUCUCGUUACCGUUAUCGUUAUCUUAUCGGGUUAUCAGUUUGAGGAUCAUGAUACAUGGUUUAUGGAUAUAUCUGUUGAGGGUAUCAUGGUUACUUGUUAAUAGUUGUUAGCGGAGGCAUCGGUGGGUCAGCUGCUCGUUUUAUGACGGCUCACUUGUGUUUCUUUAAAAUCUAGGACCCCGAGUUCUUGUUAUCUGUUUCGAGACUGAGCGCUCUAACCACACGUGGGUAUGUUUAUUGGGUCUCCCCUCGACCACUACCGGAAUCUUCUGCUUUGUCCAGUGGCCACAACUAGUUUCGUAAUGUUUUACCAUUUGAUGUUGCGUGCAUGCCAGCCUAUUACUUAUUUACUUUGGGAAGCCCUUGGGUGCCUUGUAUCCCUUGUCUCUGGUAUGCACGUAUAGGUCGUGGAGCCUCUGCGAAGUGGUUUAUCGCCCCAGUGUGUGCUAAACCACCUAGCACGUUGACACACAUAGCUAGGUCCGCUUCGGAGAUUCGGCCGGACUUCGAUACGGGUUCAACUUGGUUAGGUGGCUUCCUGGACAUUGUUGUAGUGAAGGAGAGUGCGAGUCGUGAUAUCCACCUAUCGCAAGUGGGUUGAUCGUGCGUGUGGGCACAUUUGGGCACCCCUGCAGGGUUAAAUCUUUUCGAAAAGUCGUGUCCGCGGUUAUGGACGACUUGAAGCUGUAUGACUCGAUCAUAGACAACUUACACCUGUUGUUUCAAUACUAAUAACUUGCAUAGUAAGAUAGAACAACUUAAAUAAUAACUGGUUAAAACUUGUCAACCGUGUGAGUGCCGUUGCCAGUACUUGUUUGCGAAGGGGGAUCGCAUCGGCUGGGUUAUGUUUGCAGAGUAUAGAACUGUUAGUUUAUGCGCUCUCUCCCCUUCUCUGGUAGACGAAUGUUGUAGAGUGUCUCUAUAGGUUUUUAGUGCUUGCGCGCUGCCGCUUAACCCCACCAUAUUUGCCUAUGACGUUCCUCUUGCGUCCUCUAAGUCCCCUGCGUGCCUCAAGUACAAAGGACGACUGGUUGACGAAUGCUUAUACGUCUUGAAGUCUUGUUAAGUACGAACCCGUACUUAUUGCUGCUUUGGGACAUAACCAGGCAGGUAAGAAUAUCGGUACAAAGAAGAACGACGCUAGCAAGGUUACCCUUCCGGCUUGGUCUAGGCAGGGUUAUGGACGCCACUGGUUAUCUUCAGGACUCUUAGUCCAAUUUGUAUCUUGUCCGUACUCGGAUAUAUUUGAUCUUUUAUAUGAUUUGGAUCUUAUGUUGUAUAUUUGUAUCUUGACUCGUUGGAGUCGUUGUUGUAAUAUAUCUGUUUCUUGUGGGCUCUAUUGUAAUCCUGUUGUAAUGUUACCUCUCGUGUUAAUUCCUCCGGCAUCACGUGUGUGAUCCGUCGCGCACGUCGUGUCGGAGGGCGUCUCAGAAUCGAUAUCGUGCGGAUUUCGGUGGAUUCGCUGGGAUCCUCAUGGUACCGGAUUUGGGGCGUCACAAAAACUUUAGAGGUCGACAACAUUUGCAAUAUUUGCGGAAGGGAAGAAUAAAGCAUCUAUCAUGCUUCAGUGGUCUGCCCUAAAGCUCGCUCUCUAAGACAGAAAAUGAGGAAUGUCUGGAGUUUACCUGAGGAAAAUGAGUUCAGGUAUACAAGGCCAGACUGGCUUUUGAUUUUGCUAUCCAAUGCUGCCAAUGAAUCCCAUCCUUUGAUCCUGAUGGUUCUCUGGAGAGCAUGGCACCUUCGAAACAAUAUCAUACAUGAAGAUGGUAAGUGUACUAUAGAAGCUUCGGCUAUUUUCCAGCAAAAUUAUAUGGACACUCUAAAUUGUGUUGGUACGGGAGAGUCUAGUAAAGGAAAAGGUGCGCAAGCUUCUUCUGCUUUGCAGGUUCAUGAACACCUGAAUGAUGGCCAGGUCCCUUCUUGGUCGCCGCCGGGAGUCGGGAGACAAAAGAUGAAUGUCGAUGCAUCAUUCAUAAAGGAGUCGAAUGAAGGCUUCAUGGGAGUGGUGAUUACAAAUCACCUUGGCACUGUCUUACGCUCUAUGUCGCAGAAACUGAAAAAGUGUGCUGACGGGGAGGAAGCAGAAGCUCUGGCUCUUCUACAUGGGCUACGUCUCUGUGUGCAACAUGGCUUCAGCCCAGAGGUGGUGGAGACGGACCGUGCUGCUGUUUAAGCGGCAGUUAAUGGCCCAUUUCAAAACCUGUCUAUUCUCUAUGCAGUUUACAGGGAGAUUACAUGAAUUAGAGAAUCAACGUUCCAUUUUACUUUGUCUCAAGUGAAAAGAGAUUGUAAUUCCGUAGCGCAUGAGUUAGCUAAAAGUUGUAGAGUUUAGGGAACUGUUGGCAUCUGGUUUAACUCUGUUCCUAAUCAGAUCAGUCCCUAUGUGUUGAUCGAUUGUAUCCAGCUCAUGCAUGAAUGAAAUCUCUUUU